rnacentral:rRNA from 1 species
UACGUAGGGGGCUAGCGUUGUCCGGAUUUAUUGGGCGUAAAGAGCGUGUAGGCGGCCAUGUAGGUCCGGUGUGAAAACUCGAGGCUUAACCUCGAGAUGUCAUCGGAAACCAUUUGGCUAGAGUCCGGAAGAGGAGAGUGGAAUUCCUGGUGUAGCGGUGAAAUGCACAGAUAUCAGGAAGAACACCAAUGGCGAAAGCAGCUCUCUGGGACGGUACUGACGCUGAGACGCGAAAGCGUGGGGAGCGAACAGG